AUACGUAGGGGGCGAGCGUUGUCCGGAAUGAUUGGGCGUAAAGGGCGCGUAGGCGGCCCGGUAAGUCUGGAGUGAAAGUCCUGCUUUUAAGGUGGGAAUUGCUUUGGAUACUGUCGGGCUUGAGUGCAGGAGAGGUAAGUGGAAUUCCCAGUGUAGCGGUGAAAUGCGUAGAGAUUGGGAGGAACACCAGUGGCGAAGGCGAAUUACUGGACUGUAACUGACGCUGAGGCGCGAAAGUGUGGGGAGCAAACAGGAUUAGAUACCCUGGUAGUCCACACUGUAAACGAUGAUUGCUAGGUGUAGGGGGUAUCGACCCCUUCUGUGCCGCAGGUAACACAAUAAGCAUUCCGCCUGGGGAGUACGGCCGCAAGGUGGAAACUCAAAGGAAUUGACGGGG
rnacentral:rRNA from 1 species